AACGAACGCUAGCGGGAUGCUUCAAACAUGCAAGUCGCACGUGAACGAGACUUCGGUCUUUAGUAAAGUGGCGCACGGGUGCGUAACACGUAACUAACGUACCCCUUCGCUGUGGAUAACUCCGGGAAACCGGAGCUAAUACAGAAUAAUUUGUCGGAGUCUGUGGACUCUUCCAAUAAAGCCGUAAGGCGCGGAGGGAUCGGGUUGCGGCCUAUUAGCUAGUUGGUGGGGUAAAAGCCUACCAAGGCAACGAUAGGUAGCUGGUCUGAGAGGAUGAUCAGCCACACUGGAACUGGAACACGGUCCAGACUCCCACGGGAGGCAGCAGUUGGGAAUAUUGGACAAUGGGCGCAAGCCUGAUCCAGCAAUCCCGCGUGAGCGAUGAAGGCCUUC
rnacentral:rRNA from 1 species